AUAACAAUGAUUCCCUCAGUAACGGCGAGCGAAGAGGGAUAAGCUCAAAUUUUAAAUCUGUUGGGUUCCGCUUAACAGAGUUGUAUUUUGAAGAAACGUUUUCUGCAUCCAGGAUUAGCCUAAAUCCUUUGGGAUAAGGUAUCAUGGAGGGUGAGAAUCCCGUUCAUGGUUAAUCUUAAGGAAGCUCUACGAUACGUUUUCCAAGAGUCGAGUUGUUUGGGAUUGCAGCUCAAAAUGGGAGGUAAAUUUCUCCUAAGGCUAAAUAUUGGCGAGAGACCGAUAGCGAACAAGUACCGUGAGGGAAAGAUGAAAAGAACUUUGAAAAGAGAGUUAAACAGUACGUGAAAUUGUUGAAAGGGAAACGAUUGAAGUCAGUCAUACCAACGGGAAAUCAACCUUUUGAGCUUGGUUUCGUGGGUUUUGAAGAGUUUCAAAGCCUUCGGAUUCGCGAGAUUGGGAUCUCUCGGUGUACUUUCUCGUACGGUUAGUCAACAUCGGUUUUGAAUGUCAUAAAAUGACUGGAGGAAUGUAGCUUCGAUCUCGUAUUGAAGUGUUAUAGCCUUUGGUAGAUGUGAUGUUUGAGACCGAGGAUUGCAACGGAUACCCUUCAGGGCUAUUCGUCUGAUCUCUGAUACGUUGCCCUGAUGUUGAAAGCUUGCUUAUGAUGUUAGGGUAUUACGGUCAAAAGGUUAGAACGAAUUACAUUCGUUAAGGAUGU
rnacentral:rRNA from 1 species